rnacentral:rRNA from 1 species
GACGUAGGGCGCAAGCGUUAUCCGGAAUUAUUGGGCGUAAAAAGCUCGUAGGCGGUUUGUCGCGUCUGCCGUGAAAGUCCGGGGCUCAACUCCGGAUCUGCGGUGGGUACGGGCAGACUAGAGUGCAGUAGGGGAGACUGGAAUUCCUGGUGUAGCGGUGAAAUGCGCAGAUAUCAGGAGGAACACCGAUGGCGAAGGCAGGUCUCUGGGCUGUAACUGACGCUGAGGAGCGAAAGCAUGGGGAGCGAACAGG